AUUGAACGCUGGCGGCAUGCCUUACACAUGCAAGUCGAACGGCAGCACGGGAGCAAUCCUGGUGGCGAGUGGCGAACGGGUGAGUAAUACAUCGGAACGUGCCUAGUAGUGGGGGAUAACUACUCGAAAGAGUGACUAAUACCGCAUGAGAUCUACGGAUGAAAGCAGGGGAUCGCAAGACCUUGUGCUACUAGAGCGGCCGAUGGCAGAUUAGGUAGUUGGUGGGAUAAAAGCUUACCAAGCCGACGAUCUGUAGCUGGUCUGAGAGGACGAUCAGCCACACUGGGACUGAGACACGGCCCAGACUCCUACGGGAGGCAGCAGUGGGGAAUUUUGGACAAUGGGCGCAAGCCUGAUCCAGCAAUGCCGCGUGCAGGAUGAAGGCCUUCGGGUUGUAAACUGCUUUUGUACGGAACGAAAAGCCCUGGAUUAAUACCCUGGGGUCAUGACGGUACCGUAAGAAUAAGCACCGGCUAACUACGUGCCAGCCGCCGCCGUAAAAC
rnacentral:rRNA from 1 species